rnacentral:rRNA from 1 species
GAUGAACGCUGGCGGCGUGCCUAAUACAUGCAAGUCGAGCGAACAGACGAGGAGCUUGCUCCUCUGACGUUAGCGGCGGACGGGUGAGUAACACGUGGAUAACCUACCUAUAAGACUGGGAUAACUUCGGGAAACCGGAGCUAAUACCGGAUAAUAUAUUGAACCGCAUGGUUCAAUAGUAAAAGACGGUUUUGCUGUCACUUAUAGAUGGUUCCUCGCCGCAUUAGCUAGUUGGUAAGGUAACGGCUUACCAAGGCAACGAUGCGUAGCCGACCUGAGAGGGUGAUCGGCCACACUGGAACUGAGACACGGUCCAGACUCCUACGGGAGGCAGCAGUAGGGAAUCUUCCGCAAUGGGCGAAAGCCUGACGGAGCAACGCCGCGUGAGUGAGGAAGGUCUUCGGAUCGUAAAACUCUGUUAUUAGGGAAGAACAAAUGUGUAAGUAACUAUGCACGUCUUGACGGUACCUAAUCAGAAAGCCACGGCUAACUACGUG